UUUGGAGGGACAACUUCGGGCUGAACCACAUCGUAAGUUCCUUGGAACAGGACGUCGCAGAGGGUGAGAAUCCCGUGUCUCGAUGUAGGGUCAAAGGUGAAGUGUCUCCGACGAGUCGAGUUGUUUGGGAAUGCAGCUCAAAAUGGGUGGUAAAUUUCAUCUAAAGCUAAAUACUGGCGAGAGACCGAUAGCGCACAAGUAGAGUGAUCGAAAGAUGAAAAGCACUUUGAAAAGAGAGUUAAAAAGUACGUGAAAUUGUUGAAAGGGAAGCGCUUGCGACCAGACUCACUCUUUGGUGAUCGGCUGGGCUUCGGUCCGGUGCCCUCGCCAAUGAUUGGGCCAGCAUCGGUUCCGACGGCGGGAUAAAAGGAGGAGGAAUGUGGCUCGCUCUGGCGAGUGUUAUAGCCACCUCCACAAUGCAGCCAGCUGGAACCGAGGACCGCGCUUAGGCUAGGAUGCUGGCGAAAUGGUCUCAAGCGACCCGUCUUGAAACACGGACCAAGGAGUCUAACAUCUAUGCGAGUGUU
rnacentral:rRNA from 1 species